rnacentral:rRNA from 1 species
AAUAGAUACCCGGGUAGUCCACGCCGUAAACGAUGAGUGCUAAGUGUUAGAGGGUUUCCGCCCUUUAGUGCUGCAGCUAACGCAUUAAGCACUCCGCCUGGGGAGUACAGCCGCAAGGCUGAAACUCAAAGGAAUUGACGGGGGCCCGCACAAGCGGUGGAGCAUGUGGUUUAAUUCGAAGCAACGCGAAGAACCUUACCAGGUCUUGACAUCCUCUGACAACCCUAGAGAUAGGGCUUUCCCCUUCGGGGGACAGAGUGACAGGUGGUGCAUGGUUGUCGUCAGCUCGUGUCGUGAGAUGUUGGGUUAAGUCCCGCAACGAGCGCAACCCUUGAUCUUAGUUGCCAGCAUUCAGUUGGGCACUCUAAGGUGACUGCCGGUGACAAACCGGAGGAAGGUGGGGAUGACGUCAAAUCAUCAUGCCCCUUAUGACCUGGGCUACACACGUGCUACAAUGGAUGGUACAAAGGGCUGCAAACCUGCGAAGGUAAGCGAAUCCCAUAAAGCCAUUCUCAGUUCGGAUUGC